UGAGGCUCGUUGAGGGGUGGGAGCCAUUGGGCGUCAUUAAUGGGCCAUUGAGGUUCAUUAAGUGAUGGGACCCAUGGCGUUCAUUAAUGGGCCAUUGAGGUUCAUUAAUCGAUGGGACCCAUUGGAUUUAUUCAUGGCCCAUUAAGGUUCAUUGGGUGAUGGGGACCCAUUGGGUCCAUUGAGGUUCAUUGGGUGAUGGGAACCCAUUGAGGUCCAUUGGGUGAUGGGAACCCAUUGAGGUCCAUUGGGUGAUGGGAACCCAUUGAGGUCCAUUGGGUGAUGGGGGCCGUUAAUAGUGGGGACCCUUUGGUGUGCAUCACGAGUCAUUGGGUGACAGGGGAACCAAUCAGGCUUCAUUAGGUGGCGGGACCCCAUUGUGGUUCAUUAAUGGUGGAGGUUCAUUGGGGUGAUGGG